rnacentral:lncRNA from 1 species
AUGGACACUGACUGGGCACAACACCUGACUGUCCUGUCAGGUACUUCAGACCACCUGAUCCAACUCUUCAACCUGAGGAUGCCCAAGAGUGAGAUGUCCACUGGGGCACUAUGGAUGACAGGGAUGUUGCUCUCAGGGACUUGCUGGUCACUGUGCUCAAUGACAAUAUUCGUCACACUGCCGCUGGUCUUUGCAGGAGCUAUGGACAGACUUCCGUGACCACCCGGCACCUCCUACCAGAGCUGCAGUUUUACCUGGUUAUGGCCUUUUGGCCUUGAUCUCCAUGCUCUUCUUCCUACAGUGACUCUGGCCAUAGCCCAGUGCCUGCACUGCUCUUCCAGCCCUGCUUUCAGCCUGGUCCAAGCCUGGAUUUGGAGUUGCUCCCACUUUAGCAGGAGAGAUUUGCCCUAUUCCUACUGUCAAUACAUGGCUUGGCUUCAGAUCUUGGAAUGUUAAUUUCUUCAAAUUAACUCAGAAACCUUUUAACUGGAUAGUUUCUGUAGUACAAUCAGUGAAGCCUUAAAUAUUACAUUGGAUUCAAAUGUAUUUGUGUGAAUUUUAACACUUUUACUUCAUAACUAUCCUGCUGUAAGCAGUUCUGCUUACUUUUGUUGUCUUUAGGGGUGUGGGGAGCUCUACAAAUUCUCUUGCUAGUUUCUAUGUAUAUUUUGAUUUAUUUCAUUAGCCAGAAAAUUCCUGUGGGCAAAAUUUUGUGCCUAUUAAUGCAUGGUCUGAGAAGUUAUAUUUCCUGCUGAAGAGUUCUUUCUUUGAAAUAGUGAAGGAAGUUCACGCCAUCUUUAAGUUUCUGCUCUUGGGCUCCAUUAUACUUGUCUUUGAGAAAUGGAAAAUUGUAGAUUUGGUUAUAUCAGAACAUAGAUUCUCUCUCCCAAGAACUAUUCUGGCCUUUGUUUCCUUUCUUUCCUCAUUUUCCAGACCCUUCUCAGUCAUGGUGUCCAUGGGCUGGCUGCCAAUAUCUGGCCCAAUUUGUUCCUGAAAAAUGUCAACCUCUAGAAUGCAGAGAUCAUUCUUUCCUAACUUUUGUGUAAGUUUAAAUAAAUGACACUAAGUCUGAGACAUUUUAGUUAGUGACCAUUUACUAAUUUUGCAAUGAGUAAAAGAACGAAGGCAGUAUAGUUUUAAAAUCUUGCUACUUUAGAAAACCAACUUCUUUUGGAGAAUGUAUUAAGUGUGGAUGUAGGAAAAUACGUGUUAUUCUAUACAGACUAUCUAAAAAUAAAGAUGUGGCAUUUUUAUUUUCAGUUUUGAAAAAUAAUAUCACUGCCUCUUAUGUCUCUUAAAGUCUAAAUUAGAUACUCAUGUGACGUUUUUCCAAUGAAAUGUCAAGAACCCAGUGUUUUUUGUUUGGUUUGGUUUGGGUUUUUGGCCACAACUCUUAGUGCCUGGAUCAGGGAUUGAAUCCAUGUCCGUUGUAGGGGAAGCACAGAGUCCUAAUCACUGGACUGCCAGGGAAGUCCCAGCCUAGUGUUAUUUUAUUCAAAAUGUAUUACUUUCAGCUGAGUUAAAGGUCUUUUUAAAGUCCAUAUUAAAGGUCUUUUUAAAUGCACAUAAUACAUAGAUACUACAGUAAAAGAAAAAUAGGAUGGAGUAAAAAAUAUGUCCUUCAAAACUCCCAAGAUUUCUGCUAAAGAUAUUCAGAGCACAACAUAUAGGAAAUAGGACAGUCCAAUGUGUUAAAGCCUUGCUUCUGCUGCUGCUGCUAAGUCGCUUCAGUCGUAUCCGACUCUGUGCGAC